rnacentral:misc_RNA from 1 species
UCCGGCUUAACGCCGGCAGUCUCCCUAGAGUGCCCAACUGAAUGGUGGCAACUAAGGACGAGGGUUGCGCUCGUUGCGGGACUUAACCCAACACCUCACGGCACGAGCUGACGACAGCCAUGCACCACCUGUGCAACACCCUCGAAGGCGACUCCGUUUCGGGAGCUUGCAGUUGCAUGUCAAGCCCUGGUAAGGUUCUUCGCGUUGCAUCGAAUUAAGCCACAUGCUCCACCGCUUGUGCGGGCCCCCGCCAAUUCCUUUGAGUUUCAACCUUGCGGCCGUAGUCCCCAGGCGGUUCACUUAAUGCGUUAGCUGCGGCACCGAGGCAUACACCCCAACACCUAGUGAACAUCGUUUAAGGCCAAGACUAC